UUCGACCGUGCCACAACGAUGCCGACAGCUCUCUUUGCCACCCCUACAACGUGCUUGUUCAAGCAGCUCCUUUUCUUUCAGGUUUUGUGCUUAGAAAGAGUGACAUGAUGCAGGAUGGAGUUGCGAGGAGUUCCCGGACACGGUCAAAGAUGGCUGGAACAGUCGGAUGGAUUUGCAAUCAUGCAAUAAAUGCCCACAUAAGAUGCCAUGGUCAAAUGGUUGGAGAUCGUUGACAGUUUGCAGCUAUUGAUGAAAGUUGUUUCCGUAAUAAAAGCAAGUAUCACCACAGAAGGGCCGGUGCAACAUGGCGACGGAAAAAAGUGGGUUUUAAGAAUAUUAGGAGUUGGUGACCAUCAGAAACGUCCUGUCUUGUGGCUGGUGAGGAGAAGCUGGUGUGGUUAAACACGUGCGUCCGGUUACCACCGUCAUCAGUGUCCAAUGGGGCGCUUACAGGAGUGCAUUGGCUGGUUUGCGGAUCCAAACACCUUGUGCGCCUCCCAGUAUGUCAACCCCAGCUUUCUCUGUGGACCAUGCAACUUGGACUUUCCGAGUUUUAUAUAGGACAAUGCAUCUUGCUCUGCAUCUGUAAACCAUGGACUCAUCUUUUGGACGUUUUCAGGAGAAUGGCUGUGUGUGUGUG